CCUACGGGUGGCAGCAGUGGGGGAUAUUGGACAAUGGGGGGAACCCUGAUCCAGCGACGCCGCGUGAGUGAAGAAGUAUUUCGGUAUGUAAAGCUCUUUCAGCAGGGAAGAAAGCAAUGACGGUACCUGACCAAGAAGCCCCGGCUAACUACGUGCCAGCAGCCGCGGUAAUCCGUAGGGGGCAAGCGUUAUCCGGAAUUACUGGGUGUAAAGGGAGCGUAGACGGUGAAGUAAGUCUGGAGUGAAAGGCCGGGGGCUAACCCAGGGACUGCUCUGGAAACUAUUGAACUUGAGUGCAGGAGAGGUAAGCGGAAUUCCUAGUGUAGCGGUGAAAUGCGUAGAGAUUAGGAGGAACACCAGUGGCGAAGGCGGCUUAUUGGAAUGUAACUGACGUUGAUGCUCGAAAGCGUGGGGAGCAAACAGGAUUAGAUACCCUUGUAGUC
rnacentral:rRNA from 1 species